rnacentral:rRNA from 1 species
AGUGGCGCGCUUACCAUGCAGUCGAACGGUGAAGCAAGAGCUUGCUCUGUGGAUCAGUGGCGAACGGGUGAGUAACACGUGAGCAAUCUGCCCCUGACUCUGGGAUAAGCGCUGGAAACGGCGUCUAAUACCGGAUACGAGCUGCGAUCGCAUGGUCAGUAGCUGGAAAGAAUUUCGGUCAGGGAUGAGCUCGCGGCCUAUCAGCUUGUUGGUGAGGUAAUGGCUACCAAGGCGUCGACGGGUAGCCGGCCUGAGAGGGUGACCGGCCACACUGGGACUGAGACACGGCCCAGACUCCUACGGGAGGCAGCAGUGGGGAAUAUUGCACAAUGGGCGGAAGCCUGAUGCAGCAACGCCGCGUGAGGGAUGACGGCCUUCGGGUUGUAAACCUCUUUUAGCAGGGAAGAAGCGAAAGUGACGGUACCUGCAGAAAAAGCGCCGGCUAACUACGUGCCAGCAGCCGCGGUAAUACGUAGGGCGCAAGCGUUAUCCGGAAUUAUUGGGCGUAAAGAGCGCGCAGGCGGUCUGUCGCGUCUGCUGUGAAAACCCGAGGCUCAACCUCGGGCCUGCAGUGGGUACGGGCAGACUAGAGU